rnacentral:rRNA from 1 species
UACGUAGGGCGCAAGCGUUGUCCGGAUUUACUGGGCGUAAAGGAUGCGUAGGCGGAUAUUUAAGUGAGAUGUGAAAUACCCGAGCUUAACUUGGGUGCUGCAUUUCAAACUGGAUAUCUAGAGUGCGGGAGAGGAGAAUGGAAUUCCUAGUGUAGCGGUGAAAUGCGCAGAUAUCAGGAAGGACACCAAUGGCGAAAGCAGCUCUCUGGGACGGUACUGACGCUGAGACGCGAAAGCGUGGGGAGCGAACAGG